rnacentral:rRNA from 1 species
UACGUAGGGCGCAAGCGUUGUCCGGAAUUAUUGGGCGUAAAGAGCUCGUAGGCGGCUUGUCGCGUCGGUUGUGAAAGCCCGGGGCUUAACCCCGGGUCUGCAGUCGAUACGGGCAGGCUAGAGCUCGGUAGGGGAGAUCGGAAUUCCUGGUGUAGCGGUGAAAUGCGCAGAUAUCAGGAGGAACACCGGUGGCGAAGGCGGAUCUCUGGGCCGAUACUGACGCUGAGGAGCGAAAGCGUGGGGAGCGAACAGG